GGCUCAGGAUGAACGCUGGCGGCGUGCCUAACACAUGCAAGUCGAACGGAGAUUAACGCUGAUGAGGCUUCGGCGGAUUCUUGCUAAAUCUUAGUGGCGGACGGGUGAGUAACGCGUGGGCAACCUGCCUCGUACUGGGGGAUAACAGUUGGAAACGACUGUUAAUACCGCAUAAGCGCACGGUGUCGCAUGACACAGUGUGAAAAACUCCGGUGGUACGAGAUGGGCCCGCGUCAGAUUAGCCAGUUGGUGGGUAACGGCCUACCAAAGCAACGAUCUGUAGCCGGACUGAGAGGUCGGACGGCCACAUUGGGACUGAGACACGGCCCAAACUCCUACGGGAGGCAGCAGUGGGGGAUAUUGCACAAUGGGCGAAAGCCUGAUGCAGCGACGCCGCCGUGAGUGGAGAAGUAUUUCGGUAUGUAAAGCUCUAUCAGCAGGGAAGAAAGACCCGCAAGGGAGAUGACGGUACCUGACUAAGAAGCCCCGGCUAACUACGUGCCAGCAGCCGC
rnacentral:rRNA from 1 species